CUACUUUUGGAGCAAAUUUAUUAAUUUUCAUAAUGUAGAUUAUUUGGUCACUAUCUCGAACUGUUAUUUAUAUUUUUAAACUGUUUUUUUUUUUAAUUGAACAAAGUAAUGAAAUAAUGCGAUCUCGGAAACGAUUAAACCGUAAUAAGUGUUUUUAGCAUAAAAUAAUUGUACAUAUAAUUUUAUUGCUAAUAUAAUGUUUAACUUAUGAAUUUAUUAUUAAGGAGUAUUAUUAUACAUAAUAUGUUUAAAGUUAGUAACAUUUUUUGGAUAAAAUUGUUAAUUGUACAAACGCUGACGAGUGUAUACUAUGACAGUCAUUGAAAUUUCCCAUUUUCGUGGGAUAAUUAUUGACUCAGUUUUUUUUUUAUUAUUGUAUUCAAAAAUCGUAAGUGAAAAGCUAAUUUUUUUAGUUAUUUGGAAAAACGGUGAAUAUGACUUUGGAUCUUUUUUUAGUCUUACAUUAUCAGAGGGCCAGAAAAUAAAAAGUAAUAAUAAGUUGAUAAUAAGUGGCGAUGAAAUGUGAUGACAUAUAGAUAAAAUAUGUGGUGAAACUCCGCUUUUUGUAAUCAGUAAAGACGAUAACACCUACAACUUCAGUACCGUGGUAGCUAGAUUAACUACUAAGUUAGAUUUAUACAGUAAGUUAAAUUCAAGUGAUCCGAAAUUAGGAUUUAAUGUUGUUUAUUUAUAUUUUUGUAAUAUUUAACAUUGCUAAAAUUACUGUUGAAUAAAUAAUUACUGCCACAAA